UGGAGCUCGUAAAACUUUGCAGGAGUGGGACCGCAGAGGAGGUAUGAAUCAAUUUGCCCUAAAGUGAAAAUUCUCUCAAGCAAACGUCAAAUAAGAAGCUGUUAUGCUUUAUUCACAGAUAAUUGGAAAUAGAAUGUAAACUCACUGACUGACUCCAACUGAAACUCAGAAGAAAUCCGUGACUAAUGAGCGUUUAUUUAAAGAAGUCUUGCUUUUCUGUGAUGAGGAUGGGUGGCAGGUGCACACUGCCCGAAGUCAGCAAAAGAGAAUGGAAAUCUCUUCUGGAUUCAAUCAAAAACACCUUUGAACUUGGAGAAGGUUUGAAAUCCAGGAACUGAAUUCCCCAGCUGCUCCCUAUGUCUGUAUUGGGCUGAACCAAACACCCAGAUGUGAAUACUGUAGACUUCAAGGGCAUUCAAAAUCUGGAUGUUGAUCUGAAUUUUGCUGCUUGAGGCCAUCUCUAAAUAAUAGGAAUAUACCUUCCUUUAUCUAUCCAUCUGUGUAGACUUUUACACCAUAUUAAUCAUCUGUUAGCUAUCUCUGUCAUAGAAUCAUAGAAAUAUCAGGAUUGGAAGGGACCUCAGGUAGUCACCUAGUCCAACCCCCUGCUCAAAGCAGGACCAAUCCACAGACAGAUUUUUGCCCCAGAUCCCUAAGUGGCCCCCUCAAGGAUUGAAUUCACAACCCUGGGUUUAGCAGGCCAAUGCUCAAACCACUAAGCUAUCCCUCCCCUUGCCAUCUGCUAUGAUUUAUGAUUUAACUUUGUAAGAGAGUUGGCAUACUGUUAAUAGAAUAUGCUGUCUAAAAUAAAGUUGCAUUGUACAGUA